UACGUAGGGUGCAAGCGUUAAUCGGAAUUACUGGGCGUAAAGCGUGCGCAGGCGGCUAUGCAAGACAGAUGUGAAAUCCCCGGGCUUAACCUGGGAACUGCAUUUGUGACUGCAUGGCUAGAGUACGGUAGAGGGGGAUGGAUUCCGCGUGUAGCAGUGAAAUGCGUAGAUAUGCGGAGGAACACCGAUGGCGAAGGCAAUCCCCUGGACCUGUACUGACGCUCAUGCACGAAAGCGUGGGGAGCAAACAGG
rnacentral:rRNA from 1 species